CUCGUAGGCGGCCUGUUGCGUCCGCUGUGAAAGCCCGGGGCUUAACCCCGGGUCGGCAGUGGAUACGGGCAGGCUAGAGGUAGGUAGGGGAGAAUGGAAUUCCCGGUGUAGCGGUGAAAUGCGCAGAUAUCGGGAGGAACACCGGUGGCGAAGGCGGUUCUCUGGGCCUUACCUGACGCUGAGGAGCGAAAGCGUGGGGAGCGAACA
rnacentral:rRNA from 1 species